GUCUAUGGCCAUACCACCGUGAAUGUGCCUGAUCUCCUCUCAUCUCGGAAGCUAAACAGGGUCAGGCCUGGUUAGUACUUGGAUGGGAGAAAAUGCCUGGUGGAUUUCUUUU
rfam:TPA: Bos taurus chromosome 7, whole genome shotgun sequence.